rnacentral:tRNA from 1 species
AAGGCCUUAAGUUAAGCAUUCAAACUAAUAACCUUCAAAGCUAUAAAUAAAGGGUCUUCCUUUAGGCCUUG